UCCGCAUCUUUCAUUACUCCCGAUUUUUUUCUACUUCUCAACACAUCCUCUUCUCCCUUCCGCAACACCGGUUUCGCCUUUUUUCUUUUCGAUAGCUCUUCCACAUUUCCGUAGCUACCUCUCCUUUCCUUUCCUUCUUUUAUGGCGAAUUGCACCAUCUUGCUUUCCCGCGCCCUCUAUGCAGACUCCCGCCGCUAUUCACUAAUUCGCUUUACGCUCUCCGCUACCUAUACUUUAUGGCCUAACUGUCACUGCCACACACCACCCAUUACAGAGUUAAACGGGGAGCACACACUUUUGCAUAAGCGCAUAACCAUAAACAUAAAGAAAUUGAUUGGUCCACAAAUGUAUGCAUAAGAAAAUGAACCAAUCAAUUUCCUUAUGCUUAUUGUUAUGCGCUUAUGCAAAAGUGUGUGCUCCCCGCUUAAACAUAAAGAAAUUGAUUGGUCCACAAAUAUAAGCAUAAGGAAAUUGAUUAAUUCAUUUCCUUAUGCAUAUAUUUGUGGACCAAUCAAUUUCUUUAUGUUUAUGAUUAUGCGCUUAUGCAAAAGUGUGUGCUCCUCGCUUAAAUGUUAUUCAUGUUGCUAUGUAUCAAAUUAAAUCAAUAAAUGAGAUGAAUAAAAUUAGUUGGUGAAUGAAUGAAAUAAAGUUGGUAGCGCUGAAGUUGAUAGUAUUGAAGUUGUCGCUGUACGCCACAGCACCCCUCACCCAGCGACGUUCUACGUUGCGAAUUUAACUUUCUUCUUAGGGCCAGAAUAAGUUUUAAGUUGUUUACCCGAAGAAGUCGAAGUAGAUGAAUCAGAAGGAGUAGAAGGUGUCGUAAACGCCAAAGUGUCGGUGUCUAUUUCUUUUGGAAGGAAGGCUGGUUUAAGACGUUUGGUAGUGAUAUUUACAGUUUUACCUGAAAUAUCAAUCGUGAAAAGAUAAUCAUUAAUUCUUUCAACAACACGAAAAGUACCAGAAUAAGGAGGUUGAAGAGAUUAUCUAACAGUAUCAUCUCUAAUCUAAACGAUCAGAAGAAAGAUCUUCUUCAAUGAAAAAUUCUCCAGGAAUUCUUAGUGUUGAUCCAUAAAGCAUUUCCGCUGGAGAUGCAUUUAAAUCUUCUUUGAAGCAAGUGCGAAGUCCAAGUAGAACGAAUGCCAUUGGAAGCUGGAUGAUAAGCUGAAGUUCUUAUUCGCUCGCAACCUAUAAGGUUGGUGAGAGCUUUAAAUAAUGCAGCUUCAAACUGAGGUUCAAACCUUGAUCGGUUG